UACGUAGGGACCAAGCGUUGUCCGGAUUUAUUGGGCGUAAAGAGCUCGUAGGCGGCCCUCCACGUCGGAUGUGAAAGCUCAGGGCUCAACCCUGAGAUGCCAUUCGAUACGGGAAGGCUAGAGGUAGGUAGGGGAAAGUGGAAUUCCUGGUGUAGCGGUGAAAUGCGCAGAUAUCAGGAGGAACACCGGUGGCGAAGGCGGCUUUCUGGGCCGAUACUGACGCUGAGGAGCGAAAGCGUGGGGAGCGAACAGG
rnacentral:rRNA from 1 species